rnacentral:tRNA from 1 species
GAAAGUGUGUGGUAAUUGGUAACCAGUUAGGCUCAUGCCCUGAAUAUUGCAGGUUCAAAUCCUGCUGCUUUCA